GCGGGUGUAGGCUAAUUGGCAAAGCCGCCUGACUUGGAAUCAGGUGUUUCCCGGUUCAAGACCGGGCGCCCGCA
rnacentral:tRNA from 1 species